GAUGAACGCUGGCGGCGUGCUUAACACAUGCAAGUCGAACGGAAAGGCUCCUGCUUGCCGGGGUACUCGAGUGGCGAACGGGUGAGUAACACGUGGGUGAUCUGCCCAGCACUUCGGGCUAAGCCUGGGAAACUGGGUCUAAUACCGGACAGGACGAUGGUUUGGAUGCCAUUGUGGAAAGUUUUUUCGGUGUGGGAUGAGCUCGCGGCCUAUCAGCUUGUUGUUGGGGUACUGUCCUACCAAGGCGUCGAAAGGUAGCCGGCCUGAGAGGGUGUACGGCCACCUUGGGACUGCGCUACGGCCCAGAGUCCUACGGGAGGCAGCAGUGGGGAAUAUUGCACAAUGGGCGCAAGCCUGAUGCAGCGCCGCCGCGUGGGGGAUGACGGCCUUCGGGUUGUAAACUGCUUUCGCUAGGGACGAAGCGCAAGUGACGGUACCUGGAGAAGAAGCACCGGCUAACUACGUG
rnacentral:rRNA from 1 species